GUAGCUCAGUGGUAGAGUGCAUGCUUUGUAUGCAUGAGGUCCUGUGUUCAAUCCUCAGC
rnacentral:tRNA from 1 species